rnacentral:rRNA from 1 species
GGCUUAACACAUGCAAGUCGAACGGUAACAGGAGAAAGCUUGCUUUCUGGCUGACGAGUGGCGGACGGGUGAGUAAUGCUUGGGAAUCUGGCUUAUGGAGGGGGAUAACGACGGGAAACUGUCGCUAAUACCGCGUAGAAUCGAGAGAUGAAAGUGCGGGACCGCAAGGCCGCAUGCCAUAGGAUGAGCCCAAGUGGGAUUAGGUAGUUGGUGGGGUAAAGGCCUACCAAGCCGACGAUCUCUAGCUGGUCUGAGAGGAUGACCAGCCACACCGGGACUGAGACACGGCCCGGACUCCUACGGGAGGCAGCAGUGGGGAAUAUUGCGCAAUGGGGGCAACCCUGACGCAGCCAUGCCGCGUGAAUGAAGAAGGCCUUCGGGUUGUAAAGUUCUUUCGGUGACGAGGAAGGCGUGAUGUUUAAUAGGCAUCACGAUUGAC